UUCUCUUUUCUUUGUGAAUGGCAGGGCACCCUUGAAUGGGUUCGCCACUGAGAGAGGGGCCCAAGCCCUGCAGUUGUUUUUUUUUAACCUUUAUUUUACUAGGUAAGUCAGUUAAGAACAAAUUCUUAUUUUCAAUGACGGCCUAAGAACAGUAGGUUAACUGCCUGUUCAGGGGCAGAACGACAGAUUUUGUACCUUGUCAGCUCGGGGAUUUGAACUUGCAACCUUUCGGUUACUAGUCCAAUGCUCUAACCACUAGGUUACCCUGCCGCUACCCUGCCGCCCCAAGUUCCGGCGGCAUUCGGUGAGCUCUCGCUGGCAAGUGAAAAUCUGCGGAGAGGGUGUAAAUCUCACGCCGGGCCGUACCCAUAUCAGCAGCAGGUGUCGAUCUAUAAGCCCUGAUAAUGGUGAAGUGGGCAAUAAACAUACAGUAAAUCAAAUACAGUAAAUCAAAUACAGUAAAUCAAAUACAGUACAAGAAAGGGGAACAAUAUAUAACCGUAAACAAAAAACGGUUGCCGGUCGGAGGGCCGUUGUGCGAAAUAGACCAAUGAGGAGUGGAUAAACGGCGCGAGACUCUACGAACCUCCGAAGACGGGAUAGGCUCCUCCUUACCCUCGGUAUGUGGUUCUGAGCCGGGAGUUGGCUUAGGCUUCUCGUCCGAGCUCAGUUCCCCGCAUUGCCACAUCGCCUGGGUUGCGCCCAACCAGCUCAAUUCCCCCUUUCUCGGUGGUGCACCUGUGGACAGGUGCGUCGGCCGCGUCUGAAGGGGAUAAGGGGUUGCUGGUAAACCAGGUCUUCCCAACUUGGGCUCCAAUACCAAGCGCCUGCCCACAGGAUAGUAUGAGCAGGUAACAGAGGGGCCCUCUAGUAGGACCCCUCCGGUCCCUUCUUGCAUGACACCUGGCCUGGGCAGGUCAAACUGUCUCUGAUAUGGGAACGGAUAUGGGUUAGUUCAGGGAGGUAAGGGAGGUAUCCCUCUAGUAGGGCACUUCCAACCCCUCCUUGUAGGUCACCUGUUCACAGGUGUUGAUAACGAUGAAAACAAGUGUAGCCAACCAGAGAAUGGUGGCUCGAACACAUCCCCAGCUCCGGCUGGGAGGAGGGAACUAAGUUCAGAGAGACGACUGAAGGAGCUCCGGCUGGGAGGAGGGAACUAAAGUUCAGAGAGACGACUGAAGGAGCUCCGGCUGGGAGGAGGGAACUAAGUUCAGAGAGACGACUGAAGGAGCUUCGGCUGGGAGGAGGGAACUAAGUUCAGAGAGACNUGAAGGAGCUCCGGCUGGGAGGAGGGAACUAAGUUCAGAGAGACGACUGAAGGAGCUUCGGCUGGGAGGAGGGAACUAAGUUCAGAGAGACGACUGAAGGAGCUUCGGCUGGGAGGAGGGAACUAAGUUCAGAGAGACGACUGAAGGAGCUUCAGCAACAUCAGUCCGAUCACAGAGCCUCUGUGGUGAAACGUUUAAACGCUCGUCACCCACAUACUUAGGCAACUAGCUUCUCGGAGCAUGAAGUGGGAUGGCAUGUGACUAACCGUUAGCAAAAACAUACUGUCUACGGAUGGGUCCUAGGUUCCGAGGUCCCGGGGGUAAUAACUAUCCCCAUGGUGAAUAGAGCGGAUAAAUAUGCAGGCCGAAAGGGAGGUACACUACAUGCAUACGCGCACAUGGUCAGGGGCGGAAUGGUAACAUGUAUCACUCACACCGGCGAAACCAGCACAUAGUGUUAGAGUUCCUUACAAAUGCAGAGGGCCAUCCGACGCACGGUAGAAUAAUCCCUCUCUUUUUGUGUCACCCUCAGGUCUCUCGCAGUGACGGACGGAGUCAAGCAGUAGGAAUCGGAUGCCCUCUCCAGCUGGAGGAUGCCAGAUACAGUAGCGCUAGUCCUCGGCGACCUCGUUUCCAGGUAAGUAGUGCGCAGCUCGUAGGCCGACUGACGGCCAGUCGAUAAGCCGGAAGCGAGUCCACCCUGCCAUGCGGAUCAACCGAGGGUGAAAUGGAGACGAGUCCCGCUUCGACCGGUGCUCCUCAUGUCAAAGUGAAGAAAUUCAAUGAAGCAUGGGUAAAGGGCGGGAGUGAUUAUGACUUGAUUAAGGUAGGCAAAUGCCUCGUCCUCUAAUUAGUGACGUGCAUGAAUGGAUGAACGAGAUUCACACUGUCCCAAGGGAACGGGCUUGGCGGAAUCAGGGGGCAAAGAAGACCAGAAGACCCUGUUGAGCUUGACUCUAGUCUGGCACUGUGAAGAGACAUGAGAGGUGUAGAACAAGUGGGAGGCCCCGGCCGCCGGUGAAAUACCACUACUCAUCGUUUUUUCACUUACCCGGUGAGGCGUGGAGGCGAGCCCCGAGGUGGCUCUUGCUUCUGGCGUCAAGUACCUGGCAACCCGAUCCGGGGACAGUGGCAGGUGGGGAGUUUGACUGGGGCGGUACACCUGUCAAACGGUAAUGCAGGUGCCCUAAGGCAAGCUUAGGGAGGACAGAAACCUCCAGUGGAGCAGAAGGGCACAAGCUUGAUUGAUCUUGAUUUUCAGUAUGAAUGCAGACCGUGAAAGCAGGGCCUCAUGAUCCUUCUGACUUUUUGGGUUUUAAGCAGGAGGUGUCAGAAAAGUUACCACAGGGAUAACUGGUUUGUGGCGGCCAAGCGUUCAUAGCGACGUCACUUUUUGAUCCUUCGAUGUCGGCUCUUCCUAUCAUUGUGAAGCAGAAUUCACCAAGCUUGUUCACCCACUAAUAGGGAACGUGAGCUGGGUUUAGACAGUCGUGAGACAGGUUAGUUUUACCCUACUGAUGAUGUGUUGUUGCAAUAGUAAUCCUGCUCAGUACGAGAGGAACCGCAGGUUCAGUCAUUUGGUGUAUUUGCUUGGCUGAGGAGCCAAUGUGCGAAGCUACCAUCUGUGGGAUUAUGACUGAACACCUCUAAGUCAGAAUCCCCCCUAAACGUACCGAUACCGUAGCGCCGCGGAUCUUCGGUUGGCCCGGGAAAGCCUGCCUCUUUUGGCAGGUGAGUAGACCUGUUCGUGACGUGGUUGGGGUGUGGCCGGAUGAGUUGCCGCCCCUCUCCUGAUGCACACCAUUAUGUUUGUGGGGAACCUGGUGCUAAAUCACUCGUAGACGACCUGAUUCUGGGUCAGGGUUUCGUACGUAGCAGAGCAGCUCACUCGCUGCGAUCUAUUGAAAGUCAGCCCUCGAUCCAAGCUUUUGUCGGGACA
rnacentral:rRNA from 1 species